rnacentral:rRNA from 1 species
UACGUAGGCGGAAAAUUAAGUCAGUAGUGAAAUCCUGCAGCUUAACUGUAGAACUGUUAUUGAUACUGGUUUUCUUGAAUAUAGUUGAAGUAGGCGAAAUGUGUAAUGUAGCGGUGAAAUGCUUAGAUAUUACACAGAACACCGAUUGCGAAGGCAGCUUACUAAGCUAUGAUUGACGCUGAGGUACGAAAGCGUGGGGAGCGAACAGGAUUAGAUACCCUGGUAGUCC